UACGAGGGGGGCGAGCGUUGUUCGGAAUUAUUGGGUGUAAAGGGUGCGUAGGCGGUUUGGUAAGUCUUGUGUGAAAUCUACAGGCUCAACUUGUAGUCUGCACGAGAAACUGCCGGGCUUGAGUGUGGGAGAGGUGAGUGGAAUUCCUGGUGUAGCGGUGAAAUGCGUAGAUAUCAGGAGGAACACCUGUGGCGAAAGCGGCUCACUGGACCAUAACUGACGCUGAUGCACGAAAGCUAGGGGAGCAAACAGG
rnacentral:rRNA from 1 species